UAUUUCCUUCAAUAAAGAAUAUUCAUCCUGCUCUAACCGAGAAAUAAUGUACUCAGUCUGUUUGAACCCAUUAAAAACAUAAAAAAAUUAGGCUAUUUAAGAAUACGAAAAAUUUAAGCGCCUGCCUUCCAUGGUCAGUCUUUCAUGUACAUUUAAGUUUGCAAAGACCUAAUAUUAAAUACUUGCAUAAUUUCGAAUGUUCAUAUUUCAGAAAACAAUGAGCUAAGACUUACAUGUAAGAUGUCUAAAUCUACGCCAUAUCCCUUACAAACCUUAACGAUAAUUCGCUGAAAUACAAGUUAGCCUAAUAUGUCAUUAAGCAAACAAACGCUGGAGUUAAUAUUUGAUAUGCCGG